rnacentral:rRNA from 1 species
AGCAGUCGCCGCGGUAAUACGAAGGGGGCUAGCGUUGCUCGGAAUGACUGGGCGUAAAGGGCGCGUAGGCGGCGGCCAAAGUCAGGCGUGAAAUUCCCGGGCUCAACCUGGGGGCUGCGUUUGAUACUUGGUUGCUUGAGUGGGGAAGAGGGUCGUGGAAUUCCCAGUGUAGAGGUGAAAUUCGUAGAUAUUGGGAAGAACACCGGUGGCGAAGGCGGCGACCUGGUCCUUUACUGACGCUGAGGCGCGAAAGCGUGGGGAGCAAACAGGAUUAGAGACCCCAGUAGUCCCUGUCUCUUAUAC